CGGAACGUAGCGCAGAUGGUAGAGCACUCGGCUUAUAUCCGCGCGGUCGCAGGUUCAAGCCCUGCCGUUCCGA
rnacentral:tRNA from 1 species